GACUGUACUUCAAUUGUGGAUAUUUUUUACAUGGGUAAUGUUUGGUUUAGAAGGAAACAAAAUAUGGAUUAUUUUGGAACAUACAAAGACGGAAAAGAUCAGAGCAGGAAUGACUCAGUGAACCGCAUUAACUUCGCCAUUUAUCUGAUUUGACAAAUAUAUGAGUCAAAGAUGGAAUUAACAAGGCCGAAGUAAUAAAAAUGCAAAACCCGUGAAUUCAAGAUUCCAAUUCAAUUACGGCAARUGUAUUAUCAUGCAGUAUUAAAAUUAAAACUUGCAAUGCCAAGGAGAAGAUUCCAUUUGCAGAGGAACCCCAGAGGAACCCACAGAGAAGCAAGACUUAACUAAGCGCCAUAGAGUUAGUGAAGGAACGUGGAAUUAAAGAAUGUAAGAGUGGCCAAGGGAAAUGGUUGACGAUGCAAUGGAGUACUGACGCUAACUAAGAUUGACCAACAGAUUUGCUAAGACAAAGACUUUUGCGCGAAGGCCUUAUGGAAAACUUCUAGAUAAAAUUCAGUUUUAGGAAAUAUAUCGAUUAUUUGAUACUGAAAUAUACGUAUACGUAUAUGAAUAUAUACGUCAAUUUUGUUCGAGUCCGCAAUGAAACAGCGGUUUCACAACAAAAAACAACAACUAUAUUAUUCUAUAACGAGGAAGGAUAAAAGACUGGACCGAGAAUGGGCCAGAAUGUAUUAUCUUAACUUGUACAAAACUUCAAGAAUUCAUCAAAGCAAAGGUUAAUUAAAAGAAGAAGAGUAUUCUUGGUUAUAUACAAGAAGACGGUACAGUUAUGCAGAACACAAGUUCUAGUGUUCUAGCAAGGAACACU